GAUGAAGAACGUAGCGAAAUGCGAUAAGUAAUGUGAAUUGCAGAAUUCAGUGAAUCAUCGAAUCUUUGAACGCACAUUGCGCCCCUUGGUAUUCCGAGGGGCAUGCCUGUUCGAGCGUCAUUAUAACCCCUCAAGCUCAGCUUGGUGUUGGGGCCUGCUGCACUGGCAGCCCUUAAAAUCAGUGGCGGCGCCAUCUGGCUCUAAGCGUAGUAAUUCUUCUCGCUAUGGAGUCCUGGUGGAUGCUUGCCAUCAACCCCCAAUUUUUCUAUGGUUGACCUCGGAUCAGGUAGGGAUACCCGCUGAACUUAAGCAUAUCAAUAAGGGGAGGA
rnacentral:misc_RNA from 1 species